rnacentral:rRNA from 1 species
GAAGGGGGCUAGCGUUGCUCGGAAUUACUGGGCGUAAGGGGCGCGUAGGCGGCACUGUUAGUCAGGCGUGAAAGUCCUGGGCUCAACCUGGGAACUGCGCUUGAUACGGCAGAGCUAGAGGAUGGAAGAGGGUCGCGGAAUUCCCAGUGUAGAGGUGAAAUUCGUAGAUAUUGGGAAGAACACCGGUGGCGAAGGCGGCGACCUGGUCCAUUACUGACGCUGAGGCGCGACAGCGUGGGGAGCAAACAGGAUUAGAUACCCUGGUAGUCCACGCCCUAAACGAUGUCGACUAGGUGUUGGGGAAGGAGACUUCCUUAGUACCGCAGCUAACGCGUGAAGUCGACCGCCUGGGGAGUACGGUCGCAAGAUUA